GAUGAACGCUGGCGGCGUGCCUAAUACAUGCAAGUCGAGCGAAGCGGGGACGGGGGAGUAACACGUGGAUAACCGCCCAUAUGACUGGGAUAACCUCGGGAAACCGGAGCCAAACCGGAAACUUAUCGAUGGAUCGGUGCUGCAUUAGCUAGUUGGUAGGGUAACGGCUUACCAAGGCAACGAUGCAUAGCCGACCUGAGAGGGUGAUCAGCCACACUGGAACUGAGACACGGUCCAGACUCCUACGGGAGGCAGCAGUAGGGAAUCUUCGACAAUGGGCGAAAGCCUGACGGAGCAACGCCGCGUGAGUGAUGAAGGUCUUCGGGUCGUAAAGCACUGUUAGUAGAGAAGCGGUACCUGAACAAAAAGCCCCGGCUAACUACGUGCCAGCAGCCGCGGUAAUAC
rnacentral:rRNA from 1 species